GCAGUCGAGCGGCAGCACAGAGGAACUUGUUCCUUGGGUGGCGAGCGGCGGACGGGUGAGUAAUGCCUGGGAAAUUGCCCUGAUGUGGGGGAUAACCAUUGGAAACGAUGGCUAAUACCGCAUGAUGCCUACGGGCCAAAGAGGGGGACCUUCGGGCCUCUCGCGUCAGGAUAUGCCCAGGUGGGAUUAGCUAGUUGGUGAGGUAAUGGCUCACCAAGGCGACGAUCCCUAGCUGGUCUGAGAGGAUGAUCAGCCACACUGGAACUGAGACACGGUCCAGACUCCUACGGGAGGCAGCAGUGGGGAAUAUUGCACAAUGGGCGCAAGCCUGAUGCAGCCAUGCCGCGUGUAUGAAGAAGGCCUUCGGGUUGUAAAGUACUUUCAGUCGUGAGGAAGGUUGUAGUGUGAAUAGCACUAUGAUUUGACGUUAGCGACAGAAGAAGCACCGGCUAACUCCGUGCCAGCAGCCGCGGUAAUACGGAGGGUGCGAGCGUUAAUCGGAAUUACUGGGCGUAAAGCGCAUGCAGGUGGUUUGUUAAGUCAGAUGUGAAAGCCCUGGGCUCAACCUAGGAGUUGCAUUUGAAACUGACAAGCUAGAGUACUGUAGAGGGGGGUAGAAUUUCAGGUG
rnacentral:rRNA from 1 species